rnacentral:sRNA from 1 species
CGUUGCUGCCCUCCUUGGGCGUUUCCUCCCUAGACUUGGGCCGCCCUUCGGGGCGGCUCCUUUUUUUGUGCGUA